rnacentral:rRNA from 1 species
GACGAACGCUGGCGGCGUGCUUAACACAUGCAAGUCGAACGGAAAGGCCCUGCUUUUGUGGGGUGCUCGAGUGGCGAACGGGUGAGUAACACGUGAGUAACCUGCCCUUGACUUUGGGAUAACUUCAGGAAACUGGGGCUAAUACCGGAUAGGAGCUCCUGCUGCAUGGUGGGGGUUGGAAAGUUUCGGCGGUUGGGGAUGGACUCGCGGCUUAUCAGCUUGUUGGUGGGGUAGUGGCUUACCAAGGCUUUGACGGGUAGCCGGCCUGGGAGGGUGACCGGCCACAUUGGGACUGAGAUACGGCCCGGACUCCUACGGGAGGCAGCGGUGGGGAAUAUUGCACAAUGGGCGGAAGCCUGAUGCAGCAACGCCGCGUGCGGGAUGACGGCCUUCGGGUUGUAAACCGCUUUCGCCUGUGACGAAGCGUGAGUGACGGUAAUGGGUAAAGAAGCACCGGCUAACUACGUG